GAGAUUGCGGCGCGCGCGACGCCAGGGCGCGUCGGCGGACUUGUAGAUGAUGUGGCGCAGGUCGUUGAGGCGGCCCGGCGACUGAGGCU
rnacentral:sRNA from 1 species